CUGCUGGUUNGGAGACCCUUAGGAGCUGGCUUCUAANCCGUCCG
rnacentral:rRNA from 1 species